rnacentral:lncRNA from 1 species
CUUUAGAACACAAGCCUUUCCAGGGUUAUUAACCAUGCUAUAUAGUCAGCUCUGACUAACAGUUAUCAGUGUGAUGGCUUUCGCACUGUUGAACAAGGAGAUCCUUCCUCCAGAUGUGAUAGAGACAAGAUGACUUGGGGUGUGGAAGCCAAAAAGCUAUGGCAGAACCAUCCUGAUCCCUUGAUGGCAAGCAGUCUAUCCAGAAAGAAAGUUGUGGUAGGAAGACAUUUUCUCUCUUGUUUUUCUAAAAGGAUGCCUGACAGAAACCUGUUGCUGUCCACAACAUACGACAGGAAAGAGCAGGAAGGAGCUCAUGACAGAGACACAAAAAGGAUCCGAGGUUAGGAUGGAAGUUGAAGCACCUGGAAAGCCAGAGCUCCAAGCCCACAACAAUUCAACCAAAAUCUCUGGGGAUGUAUCCCAGACAGUGUUUGCAAAGAAGUUUCUCCAGGUGAUUCAAAUUGUGCUGAUGGAGUAUGGAGAUACCUCAGAGAACUAGGACUAGAGGUUCCAUUUGAC